CUCAGAACUUAAAGGAAUUGACGGGGCCGCACAAGCGGUGAGCAUGUGGUUUAAUUCGAUGAUACGCGAGGAACCUUACCUGGGCUCAAAUGUAUGUUGACGUAUUCUGAAAGGGAUACUUCUUCGGACAAUAUACAAGGUGCUGCAUGGUUGUCGUCAGCUCGUGCCGUGAGGUGUCGGGUUAAGUCCCAUAACGAGCGCAACCCCUAUCAUUAGUUGCCAUCAGGUCAAGCUGGGGACUCUAAUGAAACUGCCUACGCAAGUAGUGAGGAAGGUGGGGAUGACGUCAAAUCAGCACGGCCCUUACGUCCAGGGCUACACACGUGCUACAAUGGCCGGUACAAAGGGCAGCUACCUGGUGACAGGAUGCUAAUCUCAAAAGCCGGUCUCAGUUCGGAUCGGAGUCUGCAACCCGACUCCGUGAAGUUGGAUUCGCUAGUAAUCGCGCAUCAGCCAUGGCGCGGUGAAUACGUUCCCGGGCCUU
rnacentral:rRNA from 1 species